AUUGAACGCUGGCGGCAGGCCUAACACAUGCAAGUCGAGCGGAUGAAGGGAGCUUGCUCCUGGAUUCAGCGGCGGACGGGUGAGUAAUGCCUAGGAAUCUGCCUGGUAGUGGGGGAUAACGUCCGGAAACGGGCGCUAAUACCGCAUACGUCCUGAGGGAGAAAGUGGGGGAUCUUCGGACCUCACGCUAUCAGAUGAGCCUAGGUCGGAUUAGCUAGUUGGUGGGGUAAAGGCCUACCAAGGCGACGAUCCGUAACUGGUCUGAGAGGAUGAUCAGUCACACUGGAACUGAGACAAGGUCCAGCCUCCUACGGGAGGAAGCAGUGGGGAAUAUUGGAGAAUGGGCGAAAGCCUGAUCCAGCCAUGCCGCGUGUGUGAAGAAGGUCUUCGGAUUGUAAAGCACUUUAAGUUGGGAGGAAGGGCAGUAAGUUAAUACCUUGCUGUUUUGACGUUACCAACAGAAUAAGCACCGGCUAACUUCGUG
rnacentral:rRNA from 1 species